AUUCGACCUCAAAUCAGGUAGGACUACCCGCUGAACUUAAGCAUAUCAAUAAAGCGGAGGA
rnacentral:rRNA from 1 species